CCGAAGUGGAACGUGCAAACUUAACCACUCGGCCACGGGGCCAGCCCCCCAAACCUCCUUUCCUUCCUUUCUCUCAAUUCCAAAAACACUUGCCGAUCCAACCAACUGCUCCUUUACUUUUCAUUUAAUAAACCAGGAAACAGGUAGCUAGUCUCUCAUGUGCCACGAAUAGUUGGUUGUCUUGUCAGCAUCUGUGUCCCAUUUUCCCAAUUAGGUCUUAAGCCUCUAGAGGUUAGAAUAGCUACUUGUGUCCCCCGCAACGCUCCGCGUGAAUGACAGUUUGUUCACUGAGGGUUACUAAAUGCUUGCCUGAUUACCUAAAAUACUUUACACGAGGAGGCAUUAGGGAUUCAUUCAUCCAACCAGUAGUUAUUGAGGCCCAGCCUGCACCGGGCACCGUGUAAAACCAGAUCUGCAAGGUUUCUUUCUCCAAGGAGUCUGUGGUUAGUACAAGAGACAGUUACUGUGCGCUUACAUCUUUGCCUUGGUGAGAAGCACGGAAUGGAGGGAAGCUUUGCUUCGGGGAGAGGCAUCAGGGAGGGCCUGCGGAGGGACAUCAGGCUGCAAGGGGGGCCGUGGGAACGGGGGGAGGCAGGCAGGGAGGGUAAGCGGCAGGUGGAGAAGAGGCCCUGCUGACGGCUGUGGCCGCGUGGGGGAGACGCGCCUGGGGCAGUGGUGAAGGGGCACAGUCUGUUCACCCUCUUGCUCUGCCCUUUAAAAGAGGGCCAUCAGCGCAGACGAGGGCACACGAUUCCACCUACGGCAGCCCGGACGCUGCCAACAAACAGCAGGAAUCCUGGUGUUCCAAAAUAUUCAUAGGCAUAGACCCUUCGGCGUCAACAGAGAAUACGAACAUCGAACACAGAAGAACAAGUCCAGGGUGCCAACACCAGAUUACAGUGUUAGAGUUGGAAGAUAGAGGACUUCAGUUUAGGAAACCAAAUACAUUUACUGCUGGGAAACUGAAACCUGACCUUGAACGGCCUUAGAGGAGUGUGUCACAAACUUGUUUGGCUGGGCAGCUUUGUUUGUGUGAAAUCGUGUGAAGUGUAAACACGGGGAACAAAAAGCUUCCUGCCUGGCCCCGAGGAGGGCUGAGGGUGAGGCCUGAGCUUGGUUUUCUCUUCUUCACAAACCGCCAGGGCUCUGGGACUUCAGCGAAACAUCGCCAGCUCGGGCUGAACAGAGGUGGCCCAGUGCGAGGGUAGGACGCUUCCCGCCGAGCUUUCCCGACUCUCGGGUCUUAUUCCAGAAAAUGAGAAAAGCAACCACUUCUUUUUCCUGCCCUCUUUUUUCUUUACUUGAAAGGGAAGACUAACUUUCUUCACAUUUAAAUGGAUUGUCCUUGUGGGUGAAAGAAACUCUACAUGCAUUGACCCAGGCGCUUGUGUGUUUGUUAUAAAAAAGGUCUUAUAAGUCACGUCGAAGAAUCCUUGUUACCAAAGAAAAACUCACAUUGGAAAUGACACUGGCCUCCCCCACAAUGCAAACACCCUUGUUUCUGGAAAAAGUCGUACUGAGCCCUGCUCACGGCUGUCAGUGGAAAAGUCCUGGACUCUGCUUCUGCGGCCCUGGGUGCUGCCGUCCAUUUUGAGCUCUUCGCAGCCCAAAGGUGGGACACAGGCAAGCAGAUGGUGAGCCCUUUUUAGGCCCCUUGCGCUGGUCAUUCAAUGCCCAGGUUCCAGCCUCCAUUCUCUCCCUUUCUGACUAGGAGGUCCCUUCCCUUCCCCUCCCAGUUCUGCUCUUUGCUGAGCCAGGCAUCUGCUGGGCUUAAGGGAAGCCAGGAGCCAGUGAGGCCUCGGACUAUGUGGGAGAAAGUCUCUCCCGCCACAGACUGGCGGAGUGCCUAGAAAUCCGCACCCUGAAAAAUGUGACUCUGGAGGACAGGUUGGUCCUUUGGGGUGGGGGGGCGUGGAGCGUGGAGAGAAAGUUUGACAUCCGUGUGAACAGGAGGUCAGGAGUGCCAAGCGGGUGGGCUGAGUCCUUCCUGCUCUGGGUCUGGGAGGGUCUGAGCAGUCAGGAGCCCCACGGCUGCCAGGCUCCCUCCAGGUUCUUCACCAAGCACUGUCAGCCUUCCUUCCGCUACCUGCCGGCCCGUGGGGGUGGGGCAGCGUCGCUGUGCCUUCGGGAGCCUGUGGCUGCCUCCUUGAGCUGCUGUGGCUUGCACUGUGUUCCCUGAUGUGACCUUAUCUGGAAAUCAGAUCUUUGCAGAUGUAAUCAAAUUAAGACAGGUCACACUGGAUUAGGGUGGGCCCUACAGCCAGUGACGGGUGUCCUUUUAAGGACAGGGAGAUUUGGGGACUGAAAGGAACACAUGGAGGGAAGACAGCCGUGUGAAGACGGAGGCCGAGAUUGGAGUGAUCUGUCUACACUGAGGAAUGCCCAGGAUUGCUGGCCACUACCACAAGCUAGAGAGAGGCAAGGGAGACUUCUUGCCUAGAGCCGUCAGAGGAAGCAUGGCCCGUCCACACUUCGAUGCCAGCCCCCUAGCCUUCAGAACCGUGAGGGAAUAAGAGUCUGUUGUUUUAGGGCAGCAGGGCCCGGUACUCGGUGAGGGCAGCCCGGUGAACGCUCGAACAACCCAAGCGUUAGAGAGACGGCCAUUCCAAAUAGACAGAGCACACACUCAGCGAGAGAGAGCUGUUGGAGGGGACGACCGUCAAUUCGAACUGAAAGAGGACAGUAAAGGGCAGCCCUCAGCGAGGCUGCGCCUUCCAUCACAGGCCCAGAGCGCAGGGACCUGGGGGCAGAGCAAUUCCAACGCAGGCGCCACUGCCACCCUGCCCCGCCGCCCACCGCGGCUCAGCCCCACGGACAGAACAGCUGGACAGAAUAUCUCAUAGGUACAAGGCUGAAAGAUCAAGUUUUCUAUGAAGGAAACAGAACCAGCCUGGCGUCUGAGCGCCUGGCUGCCGCAGCGGACGCUAGAGGGCAGGAGACCAGCAGCUGCAGGCACUGAGCUACCAUGACAGUCGAUCUGAUAACCAAGAUGGCUGCUAAGUGACUAACGGGCAGGUGGUGUACACAGUGGAUCCGUUGAACAAAGGGAUGAUUCACGUCCCAGGAGGGACAGAGCAGGAUGGUGGGAGAUUUCAUCAUGCUACUCAGAGCAGCGUGCAAUUUAAAACUUAUGAAUUGUUUAUUUCUGGAAUUUUCCAUUUAAUAUUUUCAGAUCAUGAUUGACAGCAGGUAAUUGAAACCGUGCACAAAGGGGAGAUUACUGUACAAAAAUUCUAAAUAAAAUACCAGUGAAUAGAA